CAAAGCAUACUUUAAUCUAUGCAAAAAAAAAUCACUUCAACUUGGAGAAAUCUUAGUAUUGGGGAUUGAUGAUAGAAGGGUGCUAACAUUCUGUACUGCUCAAAUUUUUUAAGACAGUCAUAUAUUGCCUUCUCAAAAAACUACAUUAAAAUUAUUUAAGUAGGACAAAAAGUGAAUGCAAAGGAAUAAAAUGAAGGCGACGAGUGAGGACAAUUAUAUGUCCUGUUGCUGAGAAGGAUGCAGAGAAAUUAAUGCGUGAUCAAAAUUUUGUUAUUUUUGUUGGGACUGUCCGUUGCUCUUUAUAGAGAAAAAGUUCGAAGACACCCUGAGAGUCUGACUACGCAUCAGUCAGAUUGAACCAAUCUGAGAGAGAGAGAUGUGAUUCAAAUGGAGGCAGGUAAAGAAGUCUUCAGAAGCCCCAAGGAAUAAAAUUCAGGUGAACAGAAAGGUUCACCUGUGAUUAGCGCAGGGGCGCUUCCAUUUUAACAAGCAGAAUGAAGAAAGUUGUUAGAUUUCUUUUGUGUGAAAGUGACCAAUCUUCGGUGGAGGACUUGGCCUUGUUGGAGAACAGGCACGUCUUCCAUGUUAACAAGUAGACUACAGCAUUAUGGAUACAAACGUAGCUAAGUUUUUAUAAUUUUAGGAAAGGGCACAUGUGACUCCUGAGACCUGGGAAGGUUGGAGAGAAGAGCAGAUAUCUGGAAUAGGACAAUGAGAAAGUGCAUGAACUCUAGGAACACUGAAGGCAAAUUCAACCAUUUCACAAACCUGUCUUGAAACCACUUUUAUAAGGACUCAAGGGAUAUCUGAGAAGGAAACUAGAAAAACUGCUUUUCAUUUGUUCCUUGAUGAUGCACAUUUCCUAAGGCUAACUUACAAUAAAGACUGGAUUUCACAAUAUCAAAAGAGCAUAAAGGUAUUUUAACUGUAAAUAACCCCUUUAGCACAGAACAAAAUUUGAAAAUAAGUAAAUGGAUAUCCUUAAAAAAGAUCAGAGAAGAAGAAGAGAAUGAGAAAGGGAAAGACUCACAUUAUUAUUACCAUUGUCACCAUCAUCAAUUCAGCUCAAUAACCACUGAAAUCAGGUGUUUCAAGAAAUUUUAUCACAAAAUACAAGAUUGCAAAUAAGAACUAUAUGAAGAACUAUAUUGGUGUAAAUGAUACAAGCCAUUGAACACACUAAAGAAGAGAAUUAUGCUGCAAAAUAUGUGAAGAAUCAACCGCGUGCGUAUGAAAAGCAGAUCAAAAUAAUGAGAUUUACAGAAGUAGAGAAUAAACAGAAAACCACGAUUAUCUCCAAAUGAUAGAUUUCUAAAAUACAUUAAAUACACAUUAUGCAUAAUAUAAAGGUAAUUUCAAUAAGCUUAUGCUGAAGGAAGAUGCUGUUGAUUCUAAUAACUGUACUGAAUCAGUAAGUAAUGCAUCAUCCUCUUGCUGUCACUUUCAUUUAUGAAAUUCAAAUUCAUUUCUCCCAAAAGAGAUAGAAGUAAGGAAGAGAAAAAGAAGUGAAAAUUAUAACCCUCCCAGAUCAAAGAAAACAAUUUCAAGCAAUAAAUAUGAGUAGGAAAAUAAUGUCAGCUCUUGAAAUUAUAUAUCUCAUUCUUAGGACAAUAAAAGUAAUCUUUCCAUGUAUUAAAGAAACUUUUUAAAAAAUAAACUUGAGAAAGGCUAGACAAAUAAUCUUAUCAGUUACUAGUGUUGUAAAACAAAUCUCCAAGAACUUAAUACUAUAAAACUAAAUAGUGUUAUUAUUUCUCAUGAUUUUGAUCUGUUGGGAAUGCAUAAAUAGCUUGGCUAGGCAGAUGUGUCUCAGGGUCUCUCAUGAAGUGACAGAUUGCAGGUGAAGAUGUGGACGGGGGAGAGUAGAGAUGACCAACCAUCCCUCUCUUCAUAUAGUCUCAUAGCUUUUCCAUGUGACCUCUUCACAUUAGGACAGUUUACACUCCUCACAGCAUGAUGGCCUCAAGGCAGUAGUAUUAGUCACAUUGCAGCUCAGGACUCCAGACUGCAUGUUUCAGUGAUCAAGGUAGAAGCUGAGUCUCCUAUUAUGACCUAGCCUUGGAAAUCAUCCAACACCACUUUUGCCAAACUUUGAUAGUCCAACAGCCCAGAUACCUUCUUUGUCUCAUGAGUAUGGGAUAUAAAUAUUAUCUUUCAAUUGGAAUAUAAAAGAUGUAUUGUAAAAAUAUCAUGUGAGAUGGGAGAUACGGCUAUGACUAUCUUUGGAAAGUGUAAUCUGACACAAAUAUGUUACAAGUAUAUUUUUUGCUAGACUGUAGCAAAAAAAAAGACAAUAAUGUGGCAAUAAAAAU
rnacentral:lncRNA from 10 species